rnacentral:rRNA from 1 species
UAGGGAAUCUUCGGCAAUGGACGGAAGUCUGACCGAGCAACGCCGCGUGAGUGAAGAAGGUUUUCGGAUCGUAAAGCUCUGUUGUAAGAGAAGAACGAGUGUGAGAGUGGAAAGUUCACACUGUGACGGUAUCUUACCAGAAAGGGACGGCUAACUACGUGCCAGCAGCCGCGGUAAUACGUAGGUCCCGAGCGUUGUCCGGAUUUAUUGGGCGUAAAGCGAGCGCAGGCGGUUAGAUAAGUCUGAAGUUAAAGGCUGUGGCUUAACCAUAGUACGCUUUGGAAACUGUUUAACUUGAGUGCAGAAGGGGAGAGUGGAAUUCCAUGUGUAGCGGUGAAAUGCGUAGAUAUAUGGAGGAACACCGGUGGCGAAAGCGGCUCUCUGGUCUGUAACUGACGCUGAGGCUCGAAAGCGUGGGGAGCAAACAGGAUUAGAUACCCUGGUAGUCCACGCCGUAAACGAUGAGUGCUAGGUGUUGGGUCCUUUCCGGGACUCAGUGCCGCAGCUAACGCAUUAAGCACUCCGCCUGGGGGAGUACGACCGCAAGGUU